UUGUGUUCCCUCAGUAAUGGGGUAACAGGUGCAUACCGUUGUACCCAGCCGUUGGUUGAGAAUGUGUUUUUGUUGCGUUUUUUGGUCUAGGCUAGCCUUAAAUUGUGAUGUGGUCCCCAGAUCCCCUCCCAAGUAACUAGGAUUAUAGGGUUGAGUUACUGUGUCCAACUCUUGUGAAUGUUUUUGAGACACAGCCUGGCUUUUGGUCUAAAGUGAUUUUUCUGUUUUUACUUCCUCUUGUAGA